rnacentral:rRNA from 1 species
UGGGGAAUAUUGGGCAAUGGGCGCAAGCCUGACCCAGCAACGCCGCGUGAGGGAAGAAGGUCUUCGGAUUGUAAACCUCUGUCCUUGGGGACGAAAAAAAUGACGGUACCCAAGGAGGAAGCUCCGGCUAACUACGUGCCAGCAGCCGCGGUAAUACGUAGGGAGCGAGCGUUGUCCGGAAUUACUGGGCGUAAAGGGUGCGUAGGCGGCUAGGCAAGUCAGAUGUGAAAUCCCCGGGCUUAAUUCGGGUGGUGCAUUGGAAACUGCUUGGCUUGAGUGCAGGAGAGGAAAGCGGAAUUCCUAGUGUAGCGGUGAAAUGCGUAGAUAUUAGGAGGAACACCAGUGGCGAAGGCGGCUUUCUGGACUGUAACUGACGCUGAGGCACGAAAGCGUGGGGAGCAAACA